rnacentral:rRNA from 1 species
GGAAACAGUUGCUAAGACUGGAUAGGAAAUAAAAAGGCAUCUUUUUAUUUUUAAAAGACCUUUUUCGGAAGGUAUGCUUAAAGAGGGGCUUGCGUCACAUUAGUUAGUUGGCAGGGUAAAGGCCUACCAAGACUAUGAUGUGUAGCUGGACUGAGAGGUUGAACAGCCACAUUGGGACUGAGACACGGCCCAAACUCCUACGGGAGGCAGCAGUAGGGAAUUUUCGGCAAUGGAGGAAACUCUGACCGAGCAACGCCGCGUGAACGAUGAAGUAUUUCGGUAUGUAAAGUUCUUUUAUUGAAGAAGAAAAAAUAAGUGGAAAAACUAUUCUUGACGAUUAUUCAAUGAAUAAGCCCCGGCAAACUAUGUGCCAGCAGCCGCGGUAAUACAUAGGGGGCGAGCGUUAUCCGGGAAUUAUUGGGCGUAAAGGGUGCGUAGGCGGUUUAAUAAGUCUAUAGUUUAAUUUCAGUGCUUAACACUGUCCUGCUAUAGAAACUAUUAGACUAGAGUGAGAUAGAGGCAAGUGGAAUUCCAUGUGUAGCGGUAAAAUGCGUAAAUAUAUGGAGGAACACCAGAGGCGUAGGCGGCUUGCUGGGUCUUUACUGACGCUGAGGCACGAAAGCGUGGGGAGCAAACAGGAUUAGAUACCCUGGUAGUCCACGCCGUAAACGAUGAGUACUAAGUGUCGGGAUUACUCGGUACUGAAGUUAACACAUUAAGUACUCCGCCUGAGUAGUACGUACGCAAGUAUGAAACUUAAAGGAAUUGACGGGACUCCGCACAAGCGGUGGAUCAUGUUGUUUAAUUCGAAGAUACACGAAAAACCUUACCAGGUCUUGACAUACUCUGCAAAGCUAUAGCAAUAUAGUGGAGGUUAUCAGGGAUACAGGUGGUGCAUGGUUGUCGUCAGCUCGUGUCGUGAGAUGUUAGGUUAAGUCCUAAAACGAGCGCAACCCUUGUCAUUAGUUGCCAGCAUGUCAUGAUGGGCACUUUAAUGAGACUGCCAAUGAAAAAUUGGAGGAGGUGAGGAUCACGUCAAAUCAUCAUGCCCCUUAUGAUCUGGGCUACAAACGUGAUACAAUGGCUGUUACAAAGAGUAGCUGAAACGCAAGUUUAUAGCCAAUCUCAUAAAAGCAGUCUCAGUUCGGAUGAA